GAUGAACGCUGGCGGCGUGCCUAAUACAUGCAAGUCGAGCGAACGGACGAGAAGCUUGCUUCUCUGAUGUUAGCGGCGGACGGGUGAGUAACACGUGGAUAACCUACCUAUAAGACUGGGAUAACUUCGGGAAACCGGAGCUAAUACCGGAUGAUAUUUUGAACCGCAUGGUUCAAAAGUGAAAGACGGUCUUGCUGUCACUUAUAGAUGGAUCCGCGCUGCAUUAGCUAGUUGGUAAGGUAACGGCUUACCAAGGCAACGAUGCAUAGCCGACCUGAGAGGGUGAUCGGCCACACUGGAACUGAGACACGGUCCAGACUCCUACGGGAGGCAGCAGUAGGGAAUCUUCCGCAAUGGGCGAAAGCCUGACGGAGCAACGCCGCGUGAGUGAUGAAGGUCUUCUGAUCGUAAAACUCUGUUAUUAGGUAAGAACAUAUGUGUAAGUAACUGUGCACAUCUUGACGGUACCUAAUCAGAAAGCCACGGCUAACUACGUG
rnacentral:rRNA from 1 species